UGAAAAGAGGGGCCAUCGCCCCAUAAAUGGAGUUACAACCCACCGCUUUAACUCAGCCAUCUCUAC
rnacentral:tRNA from 1 species